UUUUAUGAAUUUUCACAUCAUUAUCUAAAAAUAAAUAAACUGGAAUUUUUUUUAGAAAAUAAAUAAACUGAAAAUUUGAAAAUAAAUAAAUAAAUAAAUAAAUAAACUGCAAAAUUUGAAAAUAAAUUAAUAAAUAAACUGAAUAUUCAGAAAAUAAAUAAACUGAAAAUUCAGAAAAUAAAUAAAUAAACUGAAAACUUAAUAAAUUGGAAAUCAUUUUUUCAGAAAAUAAAUAAACUGAAUACUCGAAAAUAAAUAAAUAAAUAGACUGAAAAUUCAGAAAAUAAAUAAAUAAACUGG
rnacentral:lncRNA from 1 species